AUAAAACAAAACUAAUAGACAUGGACGUUCUCAACAUCGUCUUCUCCGCUUUCUCUUAAGGUUCUUUGUAUCCUGAAGAUAAGAUUAGGUCUAACUCCAAUGGAGGUUGUACGAGGUCGUAUGUCUCAAAAAUUCGUUUGGAAUCACUGUGUCGUUUUCGUUGAUGACGUUUCGUUCCUGAUUCAUCGCCUCUCUUACGUUAUAUAAUUAAGUGUUCAUCGCUAUGAACAUCGUUCUUUACUCCUUGGACCCACUCACCCACGAUUCGUCAUUCAAUACUUCUCUUCUCCCUUCUAGGUACCUAUAAAAAAGUGUGUCUUCUUCUCAUAAACAUCAUCCUCACCAAUCCAACUUCGCGAUUUUAAAUGUGCCUGUAUUAAACCGCUCCGGAACCAUCGAAUCCAUUGGCAAGGCAAGUCCAUCUCUCGCUGGAAAUUUGGAAACCAGGAUCGUGCUCUUUUUUUUGGAGGAGGAUACACAGAAAAGGCUAUUGUAAAACCUUCAAAUCCCCGGCCGGUGUCCUUCCAAAAGGUAUAGCGGCUUUCCCUGAAGUGGAGCUUGGUUUCCUUGGAGUAGAACCAGGCUUCUGAAUUCACGUUAUGAUGAUGCGGACGGUGAGCAUCCGAAACCUACACAGUACUCGGCAGUCAGCAGAAGGUUAGCCUCCAGAAGCAAUUACGACGAUGAUGAUGCCACUACGAUGGCUUACUAUGAUGCUAGAAAAUCUUUGGAGUAAGACAGAAAGAAAGAAACUUUUCUUUUCUCAAAAAAAAAAAGGUCGCAUGUUUUCUAGAAGGCGAGAAACGUCCAAUAUCUCCACUGUUGAAAUGCCUAUGUGAUUUGAUUAUCGGCAUAAUUAAUAGGUCACAUGUUUUUUAAAAGGCAUACAAAGACGUUUCGUGUUGUGUGAUUUUAUUUUAAAAACGUUGGUCUAAA